ensembl:lncRNA
UGCAUUCUGGAAUUCUUCUCUUUCUUUUCUAGACCAAAUCCUAGUUACAUUCACCUAUCCGCUGAAUUUCUAAUAUUGAAAAAGUUUAUGUAGCAGAUCAUGUUAAUUAAGAACUAGUACAAUUUUCUUUUGUUUGUUUGUGGUAUGAGAUCAUGUUUCUUGUAUUGCUUCAGUUCUUUAAUUUGAUUGCUACAAGAGACAGCCAGUCAUAUAUUCAACUAAUGUGAAACAAUAAUAAUAAGUUCAUUCGUGAAUCAAUUGACAAAACAGAUUCAGUGCAUGUAUCCACUCUGUAAUGAGAUAUACGGAAAAAACAUUAGUGGAGGACAGGAACUCUGUAGUGAGCACCUGAGAUUGCACAGACCAGCUAACCUAGGGAUGAGCAGAAGGAUAAUUAUUUGAAUAAUUAUGUUAUCUUCUACCCUGAUCUCUCACAUAUUCUGUUAAAUUAGCUUUGUCAUGACAGACAGACCGUGGUCAGGCCUAUCCAAAUUGAAAAGAUUGUAUCUACACUCUUUCCUAGAAAUUACAUUGUGAGCUGGCUCAGAGGAAUUCAAUGAGUUAGCUAAGUUAAGGCAUGGGAACAUCACAACUGUCACCAAGCACCUUGGCUUCUGCAGCUUGAAGAGUGCUUGUUAGAAAGCAGUACUUAUUUCCUUCCUGAUAUGGUUCUCCUGUUACAUUUAAUGUGUCUGCUGCAGUGAGCAGUGAAAUGUAUUAUUUUCUGAAUCUAAGGUGGCACUGUGCUGCAGCACAGAGAUGUCCUUCUUGGAGGCUUCUUCAGGAUCUCUGCAAGGUACAACACACUUCAGCGUGACACAGAACAGCUCAAUGCACUCUACUGCAAGCUAAAUAAGGAAACAGAAAUGACCCAUAAUUUCAUGCAAUGUGCCAUUGGUGGGAAGGAAAUUGGUUUUGGUAGUAGGCUUCAGAAUAAACUGGAUGCAGAAUGAUAUUUAAGAUCUUAUCUAUCAAGUCAUGGCUGCAGAGACAAGAAAAGCAUAGGCACUGCACGAGGGCUCUAUCACAGGUUUGGCUGCUGAAGCAAAAAAUGAAAUGGAACUCUUGAGUACCCAAACACCAGUGCUUCAGAUGAGUUCCUGUGAUCUUGCUAUCACCAUAACAAGGAAUCUUCUUGCUUAUAUAUGUCUGUUUUUGCAGUUCUUGUUUGCUCAGUGGUAAGAGCAUUAUCAAUAAGAUUUUUCUGG